CAUCCUGCAGCAGCAGGGCCGGCUCCCUAGCUGCUCCUCUCUCCAUGCCUCCUGACCUCCCUCCCCUCUCCAUGGAUGAUGGAUGGGAUCCCCACCGGUUCACGUGAUGACAUUUGCAUGUCUCGGCAGCACCACGGCCGGCCAGGGCAGCCUGCUGUUCUCAUGUGACCGUGACGCCCGGAUGGGAUGCAUCGCGCAUGCAUGCAGCCAGCGACACUCACGGCGCGCGCUCUCUCUCUCUCUUCUUUUCAUGGCGGUCGUCGUCGUCUCUGUUCGUCUGAAACGACGACUACAUGCAGGCUUUUGUGUCGAUGAGAUUGGUACGGAGGACGUUGCCGAUAAACCUGCACUGCUCGCUCUUGAACCUGUGCACUGCUUGCCUUGACACGCCUCGUCUGCUAUAAACCUGCACUGCAUUAGAACACUUUUUUCACUCCGCUCGCUCCUCUCGCUCUUGCUCGGUGUUCUCACCCGGCCGUCGCCCUCGCCCCCUCUCUCGCUCAGUAGUGGCUCACUAGUCGCUCGCUCCUCUCCACUCAACAGGCCACACCACGCAGUCAUAUCUGGAGGUCACGCUGUAGCGAAAUUUUAUUUCAACUGCGGUUAUUGUGGAGUAGCCCUAUCUGAUGGGGCUUUUAUAUGCGACAAAAUGGUUUCUACGGAUGAAAGAUGUCAACAUCUAUUUUGUGAGUCAUGCGCACGAAUUCACGAUAAUUCCUUCAAUCAUGAAAUUUUUCGAGCACAAAAUCUCGAUCAUAUCAUUUCAACUGGUACGUUUGUUUGCGCUUUUGAGAGUUGUGCCCAAGAAAUACCUGCACCACUGUAUACUCAACAUCAGAGGACGUGCCCGUACAAAAGACUUACGUGUCCAAUAUGUAAUAAUGGAUUUGCUUUGAUAUCACUGAGGUCACAUCUUCUGAGAGAACAUUAGUUCAACCAUUACCAGCUUAAUUAUGGUUCUCCCAACACUGGUCAUAAUAUCUCCAAUGUUAGAGGGUGUGUUUUUAGCGGUAGAGAGGAAGACUUUGUGUUCUUCAUUAGAGGCGCAACCCUUUAUUUUGUAUGGCUUGGUGUAUCAGCUAUUGCUUAAUCUCAAGCGUCUACUUCUUCAUCAGCGUCUGCAAAUAUCCAAUUGAUGGUGAAUUUGGCCGCAGCUCAGACUCAGCAGGAUAGUGGGUCCUAAAAAGAUCCAGCGCUACCGAGGUGUACUGAUGUUGUUCGUCUCUUUAGCUUCAGACAUCUCACCGCAUAAAAUAAUUUUAAGAUUUCUGUAUUGAUAGAUUAGUUGUUUAUGUGUAUGUCUUUAUUUAUCUAUCGGAUAAAUUUAAAUUGAUAGUUUGUUUAUUUGUCGGAUGAA